GCCAUUUUGUUUGUUUACCGACUGCGGGUUGCCCUCACAACCUACUAACGGCCAGACCAUUCUACUUAACAAGACGACUACUUACGGCUCUCAAGCUACUUACGAGUGUGGCCCAAACUUCUGGUUAAGUGGCAGUGAGGUCAGGUCAUGUGGCAGUGACGGGAAGUGGACCGGAAGUGACCCCGAGUGUGUGUUGAUCACUUGCGGGGAGCCUGAAGUGCCUGCUGGAGGAUUCGUCACUGGCUACAGUUUCCAAGUCGGCUCUGAGGUCCAAUACUUCUGUGAUGAGGGCCACAGAUUAGAGCGAGGAAUUAAAGCGAGCCUCAUAUUAGAGCGAGAGCGAGAGAGAGAGAGCGAGGACGACUUCAACGGCCACCUGGAGGAAUUGAGCGAGAGUGAGCGAGGAUUAGAGCGAGUGGAGCGAGGAUUAGAGCGAGUAGAGUGAGGAUUAGAGCGAGUAGAGCGAGAGAUUGAGCGAGACAACCCUGUGUACGUCAGAACAUGUGCACACGACGGCCUGUGGUCUGGAGCUGUGCCUGUGUGCGAGUACACAGAUUGGGACCGUGUACAAGCGGUCCCCAAGGCGGCUAUUGCGUACACGGACGACAAAACACACAUGGGCGGUGAAGUUACGUACACGUGUGCACAUGGCUACCGGCUCAAGGGAAACGUACAUAGGAAGUGCACACGGGAAGGAGUUUGGAGUGGAAGUAACCCGGUCU